rnacentral:rRNA from 1 species
UACAGAGGGUGCAAGCGUUAAUCGGAAUUACUGGGCGUAAAGCGCGCGUAGGCGGAUCUGCAAGUCGGGGGUGAAAUCCCGAGGCUCAACCUCGGAACUGCCUUCGAUACUGCGGGUCUCGAGUCCGGGAGAGGUGAGUGGAAUUCCUAGUGUAGAGGUGAAAUUCGUAGAUAUUAGGAAGAACACCAGUGGCGAAGGCGGCUCACUGGCCCGGUACUGACGCUGAGGCGCGAAAGCGUGGGGAGCAAACAGG